rnacentral:rRNA from 1 species
GAGUUUGAUUCUGGCUCAGAACGAACGCUGGCGGCGCGUCUUAAGCAUGCAAGUCGAACGGCAAGAUACUUUCGGGUAUCCUAGAGUGGCGGACUGGUGAGUAACGCGUGGAUGACGUACCCUCGUGACGGGGAUAGCCGGUAGAAAUACCGGAUAAUACCGGAUAAGGUCUCACGGAAUAAAGGUGAGAGAGGAAAGCAGCGUAUGCUGCGCAGGAGGAACGGUCUGCGACCUAUCAGCUGGUUGGCAGGGUAAAGGCCUACCAAGGCGACGACGGGUAUCCGGCCUGAGAGGGUGGACGGACACAUUGGGACUGUGAUACGGCCCAGACUCCUACGGGAGGCAGCAGCUAAGAAUAUUCCGCAAUGGGGGAAACCCUGACGGAGCGACGCCGCGUGGACGAUGAAGGUCGGAAGAUUGUAAAGUCCUUUUAUACAUGAAGAAGAAGUUAUACAGGAAGUGGUAUGAUGGUGACU